rnacentral:lncRNA from 1 species
GAGUUGUUCUUGUGGUUAGGAGCACUUUUUUUUUCUGCUGCUCUUGCAGAGGACUUGGCUCUGUGCUCCCAGGAACCAGGAGAAGCAACUUACAACAGUCUGUAUCUCUUGCCCUUAAGGAUAUGACACCCCUUCUAGACUUCUUGGACACCCAUCACAAACAUCUAAAUAAAUAGCAAAGAAAAAAAAGUCACUUUUACAAGGAGAGAAAGUAUCAACACCCUUGGUAAAACAAUAAAAAAAAAUCCAUGAACAGAUAACACACACACACACACACACACACACACACACACACAGAGAGAGAGAGAGAGAGAGAGAGAGAGAGAGAGAAUACAAAGUUCUUCGCUUUUGUAGUAUUCUCUCCCAGAUGUGAAAACUGGCUACUCAGGAGGAAACAACAUACACUGACAUACACCACAAGAGCUAUCUUAAGUUGGAUCCUAGAAGCAAAACCAACAGAUAUCACUGGAAAAACUGGUGGAUAAUUGUGUUCUAUGAUUCAAUUAGUAUCAUUAUAAAAGAGGCAUGAGAGCGCACACAUUCGUGCACACGUGUGAAGACACAAUUGGGUACUGGGCGUCUGCCCCUAUCAUUCUCCACUUUAUUUAUUGAGACAAGGUCUCUCACUGAGCCCAGAAUACACUUCCAACCAGUGAGUGCAGGGGACCCACCAACCCCCACAUUCAACUUGUAUGCAGGAGCCGGGGGUCCAACUCAGGACCUCAUGAUAGCAUGUCAGGCAUUUUACAAACUGUGCCAUCUCCUCAGCCCAUCAAAAUUCAUCUUUCUGUGUUGAUUAAAUACCCUGUGGUUACAUGAGAUGUCAGUUCCAGAGAAAAUUAGCAAAAAUUAUAGGAUAAAAAAAAAACCUUUGUCCUUGUCUACAGCUCUAAAAUGACUUCCAAGUGAAUAAGAAGAAACACACGCAUGGGCUAUUUCCUUCCCACGACUUAGUAAUAUGAGCUCAUGUUUAUAAAAAGGAGAGUGGUUAAAUAAAUUAUGGUUUGUCCUCAAGUGGCUAGACUGCCCAGCUUCUCCUUGCAGGGAGCAGGAUGAGAUAGGACACAGAAGCCAAAGCUUCCCCUUGUUCUUGAUUUUCUCUCACUAUUGAGUAACCUUUACAUUCCCGAUUAGAAACCUGAGGGAAACAAGAGAUGGCUCAGCAAUUAAGAUCACUGGCUGUUUUACCAUAGGACAUGGGUUUGGCUUCCAGUACCCACAGAGCAGCUCAAAAAUACCUAUAACUCUAGUUCUAAGGGAUCAACACCCCAAUCUGAAAACUCUCACUACUGAAUACAUAUGGAUCACAGACAUACACGCAGACAAAUCAUCUACACACAGAAAACAAGAGAAGUUUAAAAAUAAAAUGUGUCUGUACAAACAUACUCCCACAUACACAUGCACAGGACUUAACUCUAAGCUCAGAGCACUUUAUAAAUGGAACAGUGUCCAGGUCUUAGGACACAUCUUACUGUUUAUGACACUUAACCAAAUAUAAUGACCUUUGCAUGACACUCAGACACAACUCAGACAAAACCCCACAUGGUUUUAAAUAUGUAAAUCUCAACUUGUUCACUUCAUAUCUCACCAUCUCAAAGUCUUUGAAGUCAGAGUUCAUUGAGUUAAGUCAGAGUUACCACCAGAAAGUUAAAAUGAUGUGCCCUAAGUUAGCAUGUGUCAACUCUUAUAUACUGGUGGCAGGGACCAGACAAUCCUGCCAUUUUUAACAUUUGACCCUUUUAAAUUAAUUUUAAUAUAAUGAGACAGUGACAUUAACAAAUGAACAUAUGAACCAAUUAAAAGAAAGUCAAACUCUAGCUUCAGUCUUCAGGAUAGGGCCACAUGAGAGGUGUUAAAUAAUGUUGGAUCAUGAACUAUAUUGUUACCAAGAAAGGUACAAAAGCUGCAUGGGGUAACCAUGCACUUGUUGGUCAAUUAAAAUAUUUUGAAAACAAGUUGUAUGAAUAAAACCAUUAGAUU